rnacentral:rRNA from 1 species
AUUGAACGCUGGCGGCAGGCCUAACACAUGCAAGUCGAGCGAGCGGCGGACGGGUGCGUAAUGUAUGGGGACUGCCCGAUCGAGGGGGAUAACUACUGGAAACGGUGGCUAAUACCGCAUACUAUCGGAUAACCCAUAUGGGAUUAGCUAGUAGGUGGGGGAAAGGCUCACCUAGGCGACGAUCUCUAGCUGUGCGGAGAGGAUGAUAAGCCACACUGGGACUGAGACAAGGCCCAGACUCCUCCGGAGGCAGCAGUGGGGAAUAUUGAACAAUGGGCGCAAGCCGGAUGCAGCCAUGCCGCGUGUAUGAAGAAGGCCUUAGGGUUGUAAAGUACUUUCAGCGGGGAGGCGUUACCCGCAGAAGAAGCACUGGCUAACUCCGUGCCAGCAGCCGCGGUAAUAC